CUUCCUCGAUCUGCUGCGGCGCGAUGAAGUGGAUAUGGCUGUCCAUGCCGCCGGCAGUAACGAUUUUGCCUUCGGCGGCGAUCGCCUCCGUGCCCGGCCCGACGAUGAUAUUCACACCGGGCUGCAUAUCGGGAUUGCCCGCCUUGCCGAUCGCGACGAUGCGGCCGUCCUUAAGGCCGAUAUCGGCCUUGUAGAUGCCGGAGUGAUCGACGAUCACCGCAUUGGUGAUGACGGUAUCGACCGCGCCGUCCGCCCGCGUCACCUGGCUCUGGCCCAUGCCGUCACGGAU
rnacentral:sRNA from 1 species